rnacentral:lncRNA from 1 species
CUCUCUCUCUAUAUAUAAAUACGUGCACUCUCGACCCCAUGCAUCAAACCAUGCAAACCAAAAGCAUGGCUUCCCUUUCACCUUAUUUCUCUCUCCCUCUCUUGGGGCUCCUUUUGGCAAUGGCUUCCUCCUUAUUGGAGUUUGCCAAUGGAUCCGACCUCCCAGCACCUGUCCAAAUCCCAACAAUUCCCUUCUCUCCUCAGUCUUGCUCCAUCAAUGACUGGGUCACUGGUAGGUGCAAGACUCCACCGAAAAGGACACCACCACCACCACCACCAAUGGGUGAAGAUUGCCCACCAAAGGGACCACCACCUUACCCUAAAGCUCCACCACCAAAAGCUCCUCCUCCACCUCGUGGAGUCCCACCUAAAGCUCCUCCACCGAAUGCUCCUCCUCCGAGAAAUGGCGUUCCACCUAAAGCUCCUCCGCCUGAUCCCAGGGUUCCACCGAGGACUCCACCUCCUAGCACUGGGGUACCACCAAAGGCGCCUCCCCCAGGUACUGGAGUGCCACCUAAGGUUCCACCUCCAAAUACCGGAGUACCACCCAAGGCUCCUCCACCGCGUGGUGGUGUUCCACCAAAGGCGCCUCCACCAGGUACUGGAGUGCCACCUACGGCUCCACCUCCAAAUACCAGAGUACCACCCAAGGCUCCCCCGCCACUCGGUGGUGUUCCACCAAAGGCGCCUCCCCCAGGUACUGGAGUGCCACCUAAGGCUCCUCCACCAUAUACUGGUGUUCCACCAAAGGCUCCUCCUCCAGGUACCAGUGUUCCACCGAAGGCUCCUCCAGUAGACCCUUAUGCACCCCCUCCAUAUGAAUCUAACGAACCUCCAUGCUCUUAUACGAGCCCACCGCCACCGCCGUCACCACCACCACCACCACCAUGCCGCAGGGGAAGAUGUCCCUGGACACCUCCUAGUGCUCAAGCCCUAACUAAUGCAUAACUUCCGGAGGGAGUUCUUGAGAUUGAGUACUUAUUUAGUAAUUAGUAAGUGACAUAGUCUAAGAUGCCUAAUAAGGUUCCGAUUUUCUGUGUGUUUGCCUUUGGUUUUAGUAUAGCCAUGGGGGAUGGAAAAUUGUAGUCCUUAAGCUUAUCACUGCUCAUUGAAACGAUGGACAAUUGAUUGGGGAAUAGUGGGACCCUUUAUUUCCAUCUCGCCGUGUUACACGUGUCCCAUUCUUCCUCUCCAUCACCACCCAACAAUUUAAUCGAAGAGAACGGUCUCAAGGAUACAAAGACCAUGGUUCUUUCUCUUUUUGCUACCAUCCAUUUUGAAUGGAGGGUUAAGAUUGCCCCAAUCACAAUGUCACGUCUUUACACUAUUUUAUAUUUAAUUUCUUUUCUAUAAACUAUUUUGACACCAAAUUUUAGACAUCCAUUACUCUCUUAAAUUGGCACCAGCAAAAAAUCUAAAAAAAAAUAUUUUCAAUAAAAUAAAUGAUC